CUUACCGCGAGCUCCCUCCCGCGUUCCCUCGCGCCCGCGACUCAUCGUCAGCGUCAGCGUCGUCGAAGUCGUCAUCGUCGUCACCCCCGGCCCUCCCCACCACCUCCUCUGGCGACUCCCUCCCCUUUUCCAUUCACCUCUGUAUUGUUGCCCCUUGUUUUGCCUCCUCACGUCUCAGUUUUCUGUAUUCACUCCCAUGGUGAAUCCGCAAACGUCGUGGCCGGCGUUGGCACUGCCCUCGGCGUGCUUCGAUGCUCGCGUCGUUGGUGAGCUAGGCUGUUGAGUAGAGCAAGGCGAGUGUGGAGUGUUUUAUGUGACCUAUGUUGUGGUCGUUCUGAAUUUGAGCCUUUUUGGCGGAUCUCCAUGAUCGGGUCUGGUUCUGGGUCUGCUGGAUAUGGAUAGUGGCGCCACGCGUGCGAUCAUCUGCAAGCCCUCUUGGGUUAGAGGCCAGUGAGGGAAAUUGAAGGCGCGAUGCUUGGCCUCGCGGUCGACGCUUGUUGCAGAUUUCUUUCUCUCCUCAAUGUUCAAUUUUGUUUUUUGUUUUUUGUUUUUUUUAUUUUAUUUUGUUUUUGUUUUUUGUUUUACCCAGUUUGCUUGGGUUAUCCCUGACUGAUUCAUUCUUGUACUCGACGCUGUCGUACUGAUUGUUGCCAUGUAUGAGUGGAGUGAGGCUGUUUUAUAACUAUGGAAUUAUGUCUUGUUGAAAUCGCUGAAGUCAGUGAUGUGCCUCCGACGUAAAUCAGUUUUUUACAUUAAAUCUAAUGUCAAUUAGUAUGUGAGGCCUGUGGAGGUCUCUUGUGACGGUGUCUUCAAGUCUCAAGGUAGUACUAUCACUACGUGCAUGCCCUAUAUUUCUUUUCAGUAUCUCUGAACAAUUAUCCUUCAUGAGGGCUACUCACACUUCAGCUCGAAACAUGCAACAGUGCACUAUUCUUCAGUCUUCCAUUCCUCCCCCUUUUUUGGAUUGCUGUUGUUUCUCAAUCCAGAUUGAGCGCAACAAUACUGCAUUUUAUUUAUUUAUUUGUUGUCUUUUGUUUGAGAGGUCAUGCCCUGUGCGGUGCCUGUGUAGUAUGUGACGAAGAGGCGUGUGCGGAGCACCGUGAGUCUUUUCCUGCCUCUCACUAGCUUCUUCCCUCCCUGCCUGAGUCGCAGUCUGGGAGGUAAGGAGCUAUUGGUAGACAGGAAUAGCGCGCACGUAGUCCCACGCAUGUUUCUGUGAAAAUAUCUUACCGUUGCCCACCUCUCACAACGAGCAGCAUUGCAUGGGUCAGACUGCUGACUGCAAUUACUGCACUUGUCGACCUUUGUGAGGGUAACAUCUCUGCGGCCUCUUCCUGCCUCUCACUAGCUUCAUCCCUCAGAAGCUGAAUCUUCUCAGGGAAGGAGCUACUGAAGAGCAGGAAUAGAUUGCACUCUUGGACUCCAACCAAUCUGUCUUCCAUUAUUUGUGUACUCAAAUUCUUCUGUUGUAGUGGCCAUUCUGGGGCAACGUCAUUGUCGGUCAAAUUCGGUGCUGAUCUCUAGUAGCAAUUCUGUAACGAUGACCGCCGUCUAUUUGUAUAUUAGAUUUGCCAACUUCAUCGGCGGCAGGAGCUCUCCAGAGUUUGCUCCAAAGGUAAAGGACAUGAUAUAAACAAUUCUUUCUGCGACACGUAAUUGUCGUAAGAUUGAUUGCCUGCGCCCCUAGCAUGCGUACUGAAUGAAGCUGAGUAAUGACACUGUCCUGUCUCAUCUGAUCGCCUUUAGCAGUCGCUGGUUGUAAGUUUGCUCUACACCCCUCGAGGAAUAUACAUACAGUGUUUUCGGGGACACUCUGCUUUCGAUUACCACCUGAGCUUAGCUAAUCUGCAGAGCAAGGAAAGAGCAGACUUCCCAGUUACUGGCCGCAAAAUAAGUCAUGUGACCAUCUAAGAGAAAGACGUGGAGUUCCAUGUGUGGUGUCAGCAGGGCGGUGAAAGGCGAAAACGCUGGCGUUACGCGAAUGCGACCGCAGAAUACACGGAUGGCUUCCACGACGGAACCUGUCAGCGGCUAAUCUCGCUCUCCUUCUCUCGUUUUCAUCUCUUGCUAGAUCUCUCACUUUGAAGCUGGGUCGGCGGCGUGCAGCCGUGCAUCACCGUUUCUCACCUGCGCACUCCAAAUGAACAGCAACAGGUCAAUGACCAGGUUCGCAAGCAGCUUUGAUGCGACCGAAUGUGGAGGGUGGGUGAUUGUUGUUGAUCUGAUUUAAAGCAUGUUCACUAUACGCCCACUUCACAAGCGCCACCACUCGUGCAUGCUGCACCUCCAGACACUCACAUUUCUACCGUCUCGUAAGUCAAUUGUGGCAGUUUAACAUGAUUGUGAAGUCCAAAAACAUGAUAUUUGCAUGAUUGGGUUGUAAAUAUAGCCAGCGCAGAAACUCACUCUUUUUACCUUCAUUUUUUUGGCAAAAAUGAAAUAAUAUUUCAUUACAGUUGGGAUCAGUACAAGAUGUUAUGGUUCAACAGGAUUAAAUAAUCCCUCCACAACAGGACUCCACACUGGACCCUAAGUAAUUAUGGUACAACCCAAAGCCUAUUGGGGGUCGGACCUAGCAUCGGCAUGAUGCAUGUGAGGCCGCCACCGAAGUGACUCACAUUCUACGUUCAAUCAUCUCAUCGGAUCCCCGUUUGGAUGUUUGAAUCUGUUCGAAAUCGGAAUAGAUCCGGCCAGUUGUCAAGUGACCAGUUAGCAAUUUAUAUUAGAACUUACCUUUGUUCAAUAAAUUACUUCACUAUUUUACGCACAUUAUGUAACAUCAUGUCAAUAUGUCAAUUGGUAGUUACCCAAGUUUGUCUCCAGAAUCGCGGUUUCUUAUUCUUAAGCGAUUCAACAUAUUAUAAAAUAUCGUUGAUGAAACAAAAACUCUGAUCAAGAUUUUUUAGACACCAACGUACAUUAAUAGUGUGUAAGUUGACGUAUGAUUAUUGCAAUUCAUUGAACAAAUGACUGUGGACUACAGUAUUAAAAGUUA